rnacentral:lncRNA from 1 species
CUUCUUCGGCAUCGGCAGAAUUCUGCACCAACAGGAUCCAAUUGAAAUUUUUUAAAAUUUUGGGAUCCAAAUAUAAAUGUGCCAAGCUUUGAGGGGUAUCUUUAUAAUUUUUUUUUCUUUUAAGCUUAAACCAAACUAUUGAUCCAAUCAAGUGGACUGAGCUUAGUUCAAUAUCAGUCCCUUUUGGGCUAAGGUAUUACAAUAAC